ACGGGAGGCAGCAGUGGGGAAUAUUGCACAAUGGGGGAAACCCUGAUGCAGCGACGCCGCGUGAAGGAAGAAGUAUUUCGGUAUGUAAACUUCUAUCAGCAGGGAAGAUAAUGACGGUACCUGACUAAGAAGCCCCGGCUAACUACGUGCCAGCAGCCGCGGUAAUACGUAGGGGGCAAGCGUUAUCCGGAUUUACUGGGUGUAAAGGGAGCGUAGGCGGCGUGAUAAGUCAGCAGUGAAAGCCCGGGGCUCAACUCCGGGACUGCUGUUGAAACUGUCAUGCUUGAUUCCAGGAGAGGUAAGCGGAAUUCCUAGUGUAGCGGUGAAAUGCGUAGAUAUUAGGAGGAACACCAGUGGCGAAGGCGGCUUACUGGACUGGCAAUGACGCUGAGGCUCGAAAGCGUGGGGAGCAAACAGGAUUAGAUACCCUGGUA
rnacentral:rRNA from 1 species